UCGGAGCAUUCCCUUGUAAUACCCCACAAAGUUCUCUCCUAGUCUGAGCCUUAGAGCAUUUUCAAAAAAACAAAAAUCUGAGUAUAAAAAUUUCAGAAAUAUCUUCCCAAGUAUGAAACACUUUAAAUCGUGUUGUAUUUAUAUAAUUUCAAAUUUUUGUCAUGUAGAGCAUUGAAUAAGCUUUCUCUCAUGUAGAGCAUUGAAUAAGCUUUCCAUCGAUACCAAUUUUAUCAAAAUCCGA
rnacentral:lncRNA from 1 species